rfam:Schistosoma mattheei strain Denwood, Zambia genome assembly, scaffold: SMTD_scaffold0007618
AUUCAGCUGACUAGUCCCUAAUAGGACGAAACAUGUGUCCCGGAU